UGGGGAAUAUUGGACAAUGGGCGCAAGCCUGAUCCAGCAAUGCCGCGUGAGUGAUGAAGGCCUUAGGGUUGUAAAGCUCUUUCGCCCGCGACGAUGAUGACGGUAGCGGGAGAAGAAGCCCCGGCUAACUUCGUGCCAGCAGCCGCGGUAAUACGAAGGGGGCGAGCGUUGUUCGGAUUUACUGGGCGUAAAGGGCGCGUAGGCGGCGGACCGAGUCGAGUGUGAAAGCCCCGGGCUCAACCUGGGAGGUGCGCUCGAGACUGGCCCGCUGGAGUUCGGGAGAGGAGCGUGGAAUUCCCAGUGUAGAGGUGAAAUUCGUAGAUAUUGGGAAGAACACCGGUGGCGAAGGCGGCGCUCUGGACCGAGACUGACGCUGAGGCGCGAAAGCGUGGGGAGCAAACAGGAUUAGAUACCCUGGUAGUCCACGCUGUAAACGAUGUGUGCUAGACGUUGGGGAGCGUAGCUCUUCGGUGUCGCAGCAAACGCUUUAAGCACACCGCCUGGGGAGUACGGCCGCAAGGUUA
rnacentral:rRNA from 1 species